rnacentral:rRNA from 1 species
CAGCACCUCAAGUGGUCAGGAUGAUUAUUGGGCCUAAAGCAUCCGUAGCCGGCGCUGUAAGUUUUCGGUUAAAUCUGUACGCUCAACGUACAGGCUGCCGGGAAUACUGCAGCGCUAGGGAGUGGGAGAGGUAGACGGUACUCGGUAGGAAGGGGUAAAAUCCUUUGAUCUAUUGAUGACCACCUGUGGCGAAGGCGGUCUACCAGAACACGUCCGACGGUGAGGGAUGAAAGCUGGGGGAGCAAACCGGAUUAGAGACCCGUGUAGUCC